rnacentral:rRNA from 1 species
GGGCCCGCACAAGCGGUGGAGCAUGUGGUUUAAUUCGAUGCAACGCGAAGAACCUUACCUACCCUUGACAUCCUGCGAAUCUGAUAGAGAUAUCGGAGUGCCUUCGGGAAUGCAGAGACAGGUGCUGCAUGGCUGUCGUCAGCUCGUGUUGUGAAAUGUUGGGUUAAGUCCCGUAACGAGCGCAACCCUUGUCCUUAGUUGCCAGCGAUUCGGUCGGGGACUCUAAGGAGACUGCCGGUGACAAACCGGAGGAAGGUGGGGACGACGUCAAGUCAUCAUGGCCCUUACGGGUAGGGCUACACACGUGCUACAAUGGUUGGUACAGAGGGAAGCGAGACCGCGAGGUGGAGCAAAUCUCAGAAAGCCAAUCGUAGUCCGGAUUGGAGUCUGCAACUCGACUCCAUGAAGUCGGAAUCGCUAGUAAUCG